rnacentral:tRNA from 1 species
CCUGGUGGUUCAGAUGGUAAAGCAUCUGCCUGCAAUGCAGGAGACUCAGGUUAGAUUCCUGGGUCAGGA